rnacentral:misc_RNA from 1 species
GAAAUGCGAUAAGUAAUGUGAAUUGCAGAAUUCAGUGAAUCAUCGAAUCUUUGAACGCACAUUGCGCCCGCCAGUAUUCUGGCGGGCAUGCCUGUCCGAGCGUCAUUUCAACCAUCAAGCCCCCGGGCUUGUGUUGGGGACCUGCGGCUGCCCGCAGGCCCUGAAAACCAGUGGCGGGCUCGCUGUCACACCGAGCGUAUUAGCAAUCACCUCGCUCAGGGCGUGCUGCGGGUUCCGGCCGUUAAACAGCCUUACAAAACCCAAGGUUGACCUCGGAUCAGGUAGGAAGACCCGCUGAACUUAAGC